rnacentral:misc_RNA from 1 species
AUGUGCGACAAUAUCCAAGGCAACCCAUUUGCCGGGCUGUUUUCAACGGAUAAUGAUGCUGUCUCAUUCUCCACGCAACAUCAUGCGAUUGUUGAUGAAAGCAGCAAUACCAAUUAUGUGGAACGCUCGUCGGACACGGUUAAGGAGGAAUCCAAGAAUACGGAGCCUAGGAGUUUGGACGACAAGGUUGACCAGCUUAUGGCGCGUGUGUUUGGCUUGACAUUGCGUCGAGACAGGAACAAUCCUCCAGAGAGAUCCCUCGUGUUCAUCGACGCGGAUUCGAUUGAACAUGCUGUUUUCGAGCGCUUGAUGCUGCCAAAUCCGAAACCCGAGUGGACAUGCGACAAUGUGUCCAGUAAUGUUGAUAAUCACAUAGUUCAAAUGCAAGUUAUAACUUACCUUUAUGAAUGUUACUGCCGUUUAAAGCACUACCAGAGUCACAGUGAUUUGCAAAGUACUGUAAAAAAUGCUUGCCAAAUUGUAUUAAGAAAUACCAGCACAGCUUUGCAGGAGCCAGAUUUGUUCCAGUAUCAAGAGGUUCAUAAUCAGUUUGUUACUUUAUUUAUGGACGAUGGUAUAUCAAAGCUAGAAUUAUCAUCAUUUCUUACUGGUAUAGUGGAAGAAUUAAUAAUGGCGAAUGGGGAAAAUGUAGAGGAUGCAGUUGCAAAGUCAUUUGCGCCUGUUCUUGAUAUCGUUCAUAAAGACGCAGCCCAGAGCAAUCUCUUUACCUUUCGCCAACAGUGGUUUACUUUACUCCAUGCAUUUUCUACUAUCGAGCCACUGGCAAAGUUGUUGAUUCGUCAUAGUGCACCGAAAAAUGAUCAGGGUUGCGCAUAUGCGGACACAUUGCUAGGUGCGUUGUUCAACAUAAGCUGUCUACCAAAAACAGCUAAAGACCCAUAUGAUCUCUUCGAUAAACCUCUGCAGCAAUCAAAUGCAGUCAUGGAGAGUACUAUAUGGUUAGCCAUGAAUAGCUUGAGCGAAGCUUUAGACAAAGUUUUUCAUUCCUUAUUGAAAUGUUCAAUGGAAAUUCGUCAUUUGACCCUACGAUGGCUGGGUAAUUGCCUUCACGUGAAUGCAAACAGAGGGAAACUUUGGAACUCUCACAUGGAAAUGGGAUUGCUGGGAGUGUUGUGCGUGUCAGAUGGUUUCAUGCUGAAUGUCAGCAAUGUAUUGUUACGUCUUUGUCAACCGUUCUGCAUUAAAUUAAGUGACGCUAAAGUACCAAAAAUAGAUCCUACAUAUUGCAGUGCCGAGGCAAACGACGAAGCCGAGAGUCUACAACGUGGUAUACACAUGAAAGGAUUGAGUACAGAGACGUGUUUGGUACCAGUACCAGAGGGCGAAAGUCGACCGGUCGCGGAGAUAUUUGGAUUCAUAACCGAAUGCUUCUUCCUCACGCAUCGUGCGUUAGACCUUGGCUACAGAGUUGUACUCGACAAGCUCUUGAGAACGAAUCAAGAUUUGGUCAGGAUACAGAGGGCUUACAACGAUGCUCGAACGGGUGGAAGUUCAGAGGUGCUAGAACUCAUAUCGCAGCAAAUGGAAACUGAGAUGAUAAAAUACUUGUCUCUUAAAACGAGUCUUCUAAUACCAGAGAUGUUGGAACGCUUGGCAAGAUUUCAUGCGAUGACAGCGUUCUGGUUGGUACAAGUGAAUUUGCAUGUUGUAAAUGAAGAAGAGGCCAAACGAAAUUUCAUACCAGAACCAUACACACCUGUUACAUUCCCAUUACCAAAAGCUGUUCCAAUUACAUUGAGGUGCAUUCCCGAGUUCGUAGUCGAAAAUACAAUCGGAUUUUUGUGUUUCUUACGUCGCUUGAGUCCGAACACGUUUGAGGAGCAAGGUCCGAGUUUUUUAAAUCCAAUCUUAACAGAGAUUAUAGUUCUCAUGGAGUCACAGCAUCGUCUGUACAAUCCGCAUUUGCGCGCACGUUUAGCUGAGAGCCUGGAGGCUCUCCUGCCGAUUACGGAUGAGAACGAUACUCCAGCUGCACCUAGCUUGGGAAUAUUCCAUAGGGAACAAUUAUUUCUCACUCAUCCACAUAGGCAGCAUGUAAUUGUCAACUUACUGCAUGUAUUUGUAAGCAUCGAAAUGACGGGACAGAGUGUACAGUUCGAGCAAAAGUUCAACUAUCGUCGUCCGAUGUACAUUGUCAUGGAUUAUCUAUGGAAGCUUGCUGAACAUCGUAACAAGUUUAUUGCUUUAGCUCAAGAAGCGGAGGACAACAUGGAAGCAGUUCAACCACCGUUGUUUUUACGUUUCAUCAAUUUACUAAUGAAUGAUGCUGUGUUUCUCUUGGACGAAGCUCUAUCGAAUAUGGCGCAAUUAAAACAAAUAUUACAAGCUAGAGAAAACGGAGAGUGGAACAAACUGCCGCCGAAUGAACGCGAGCAGCAGGCAGGCUAUCUCCAGCACAUUGGUAUGAUCGCUCGUUUUGACAAUAUUCUGGGUAGAAAAACUAUACAAACGAUAAAAAUGUUGACCACUGAGAUAAAGUCGAUCUUUUGUCAUCCGACCAUGGUGGAUCGUAUCACUUCUAUGCUUAAUUAUUUACUAUUACAAUUGGUAGGACCGAAUAAAAAGAAUCUAAAGGUAAACGAUCAGAAAGAAUACGCGUUCAAUCCUGCGAACUUGGUGCUGAAUAUAUGCGAGAUCUACAUCAAUUUGAGUAAAAGUGAAAGCUUUAUUCUAGCCGUGUCACAAGACGGACGUUCUUAUAGUACAGAACUCUUUAAACUUGCUGAAAAUGUGCUUGUUCGCAUCGGUGGUGUGGGUAUAUUGGGAGAUUUGAAUCAAUUUGCAAAGAGCGUGGAGAAAGCCGCGAAUCAGAAACGAGAGGAAGAUGAAAUUCUGGCAGGCGCUCCGGACGAAUUUCUGGACCCGAUUAUGUCGACCGUAAUGACGGAUCCUGUAAUUUUACCAUCGUCGAGAAUAACUAUCGAUCGUCAAACUAUAGCAAGACAUUUACUGAGCGAUCAAACUGAUCCUUUCAAUCGAUCUCCACUUACUAUGGACAUGAUCAAACCAAAUGUUGAACUUCAACAAAAAAUACAAGAGUGGAUAUCGCAAAAAAAACAAGAGAAAAUAUCGUUAAAUACUGUUACAUAAAUUAUCAAUUGUUGUGUCACGAUAGAGAGAGUGACAUCGAAGCUCAUAUAUUUGCACAACUUCUCAAAGAAAAUCUGAAUUUACAGAAAUCAUUAUGAAGCGGACACAUUUCAUUCCAUUCUUAUUUGUUGUCGAUUGCUUGCAUCUGAGUCUUGGCGCUUUCGUAGACAAUUGAAAAUUCAAUUUAUUGAUCACUCCAAUUGUAUGAAGUGUAAACAGUUUUUCGAGAAACCAAAUUACUGUCCAAGUAAGUAAACAUAAGUAGAAAGGAAUGGAUCGUGUGCAUAUCGUCGCAGGAGACGUUGAGCCAUCUCCGUGUGGAAAGUAAUCGGCAAUUGAUUCGUCGAAGUAUUAUUGAAAAGCUUUAAUUCUUGUCGCCCGACAAGUCCUUCCUAUUCUACUUGCGACAGCAUCGUGACUCACUUCUCGCUCAUUUACGUUUUUAUGGAUUCAAGGAUAGAUGAAUCAUUUUACAUACAAAUUUUGCAAUGUAUUAUAAUUAUGUACAGGGUUACAAACAGAUGUAGAAUUACACACAGCAAUUGUAUCAGUAACAAUUACUGAUAUAUUAUAAAAUGUUUAUGUAAACGGCAUGUGAUUUUAGAAAUCGAUAUCGAAAACGUGAUUGUACAUUGUGUUUCCAUUUAUUGUGCAGAAUAAAUCCUAUUUAUGGACAU